GUCGAACGAAGCGCUCAGCCGGAACCCUCCGGGGGAAAGGCUCUGCGACUGAGUGGCGGACGGGUGAGUAACGCGUGGGCAACCUGCCCCGCACUGGGGGACAACAGCCGGAAACGGCUGCUAAUACCGCAUAUGCGCACAGCUUUGCAUGAAGCAGUGUGGAAAACUCCGGUGGUGCGGGAUGGGCCCGCGUCUGAUUAGCUAGUUGGCGGGGCAACGGCCCACCAAGGCGACGAUCAGUAGCCGGCCUGAGAGGGUGGACGGCCACAUUGGGACUGAGACAUGGCCCAGACUCCUACGGGAGGCAGCAGUGGGGGAUAUUGCACAAUGGGGGGAACCCUGAUGCGGGGACGCCGCGUGAGCGAAGAAGUACCUCGGUCUGUAAAGCUCUAUCAGCAGGGAAGAAAAUGACGGUACCUGACUAAGAAGCCCCGGCUAAAUACGUGCCAGCAGCCGCGGUAAUACGUAUGGGGCAAGCGUUAUCCGGAUUUACUGGGUGUAAAGGGAGCGCAGGCGGCCUGCCAAGUCUGGUGUGAAAACCCGGGGCUCAACCCCGGGCCUGCAUUGGAAACUGGCGGGCUGGAGUGUCGGAGGGGCAGGCGGAAUUCCUAGUGUAGCGGUGAAAUGCGUAGA
rnacentral:rRNA from 1 species